rnacentral:rRNA from 1 species
UGGGGAAUAUUGCACAAUGGGCGCAAGCCUGAUGCAGCGACGCCGCGUGGGGGAUGACGGCCUUCGGGUUGUAAACUCCUUUUGCUAGGGACGAAGCUUUUUGUGACGGUACCUAGAUAAGAAGCACCGGCUAACUACGUGCCAGCAGCCGCGGUAAUACGUAGGGUGCGAGCGUUGUCCGGAAUUACUGGGCGUAAAGGGCUCGUAGGUGGUUUGUCGCGUCGUCUGUGAAAUUCCGGGGCUUAACUCCGGGCGUGCAGGCGAUACGGGCAUAACUUGAGUACUGUAGGGGUAACUGGAAUUCCUGGUGUAGCGGUGAAAUGCGCAGAUAUCAGGAGGAACACCGAUGGCGAAGGCAGGUUACUGGGCAGUUACUGACGCUGAGGAGCGAAAGCAUGGGUAGCGAACAGG